UUCCUAGUUGAUCCUGCUAAUAAUCAUAUGAUUGUCUCAAAGAUUAAGCCAUGCAGGUGUAAGUAUGAAAAAAUUCAGAAUGUGAAAUUGCAAAUGGCUCAUUAAAUCAGUCGUAGCUUGUUUGAUGGUACUUGCUACUCGGAUAACUGUAGUAAUUCUAGAGAAAAUAAGUGAAACAAACCCCGACUUCUGGAAGGGAUGCAUUUAUUAGAUAAAAGGUCGACACGGGUUUUGGCUGUUGCUAUGAUGAUUCAUGAUAACUCGACGGAUCGCACAACCUUUGCGUAGGCGAUACAUCACUCAAAUUUCUACCCUAUCAACUUUCGGUGGUAGGAUAGUGGCCUACUACGGUGGUAACGGGUGACGAAAAUUAGGGUUCGAUUCUGGAAAGGGAGCCUAAGAAAUGACUACCACAUCCAAGGAAGGUAGUAGGGGCACAAGUUACCUAAUUCUAGCACAGGAAGGUAGUGACAAUAUAUAACAAUAUCGGGCUCUACGAGUCUGGUAAUUGUAAUGAGUACAAUCUAAAUCCCUUAAUGGGGAUCCAUUGGAGGGCAACUCUAGUGCCAGCAGUAGCAGUAAUUCCAACUCCAAUAGCAUAUAUUUAAGUUAUUGCAGUUAAAAGCUCAUAAUUGGUCUUAAAGGUGGGUCGGUUGGUUCUCCUUACGGUGAGCAUCAAUUUUCUCGUUCGUACUAGCGACGAUACGCUGCUAGCCUUAAUUGGUCGGGUCAUUCCUCUAGUAUUUUUACUUUGAAGAAAUUAGAGUACUCAAUGCAAGCAUACGGUUGUAUACAUUAGCAUGGGAUAACAUAAUAGGAUUUUGAUCCGAUCGUGUCGACCUUCGAAAUUCAGGUAAUGAUUAACAGAGACAGUUGGGGGCAUAAGUUGUAAUACCCCAAAAAUUGCUACAGUAAGAAAGUAAGAUAAUAUUCCUGAUAUAGU
rfam:Gossypium raimondii Chr08_contig_711, whole genome shotgun sequence.